rnacentral:lncRNA from 1 species
GGCAAUUUUUCUUGACUAUGCACUCUUAACUAUAUGCUCUGCAACUUCACUUUUUAGCUUUAUUUCACAUUUUAAGGCUUGCUAGUAAUUAAUAUUCGUAUACCAGCUUAUUGAGUUAUAAAAACCAAAACUGAUUGACAGAUAUGAAGGAAUGGGCUUUCAACCAGACACAACAUAAGAAUAGCUUUCUGAAGACAGAGACUUACGUGCAUUUCUGGCCCACAGAAAUAAAAUCUGUGAUAGGAAACAGACUAAGAAACACUUGCCAAAAUACACUUACCUUUUCUACUUUUGAUUUCAUUUAUUUCACAUGCAGGACUGAUUACCAAUCAUGUGAGGAAAUUCAACCAUUUAUAAAUUUCAAGAGCUUCAGAGCUUCCCACUCUUCAAAGGCUUUCUGCAAUAAAAGCUUCCAGCAGAAGAGCAUAUGUGGAAUAACAAAGCUCAGUAAAAUCCAACUAAAUGAAAAGGAAGGUGACAGGCAGGAAUCCUAAAUCAGAGAAAGAAAUGCUGUGAACAGGAUGCAGCUUUCUGAGGUGCUUAGAAAUGGAAAGAUUCUUUUGGAAACCAUGCUGGACUGAAGACCUAGACUGAGAUUCCCAGACUCUAAUAAAAAUAUGGCAUAGCAAAGUGCUGGCUAAAUG